GACGAACGCUGGCGGCGUGCCUAAUACAUGCAAGUCGAGCGAACAGACGAGGACUUUGCCCCUCUGACGUUACCGCCGAACGGGUGAGUACCCCGUGGAAAACCUACCUAUAAGACUGGGAUAAUCCGGGGAAACCGGAGUAAAAACCGGAAAAUAUAUUGAACCCCAGGGUGCAAUAUGGAAAGUCGGAUUUGGUUUCCACUUAAGAAUGAUCCCCGCCGCAUUAGCUAGGUGGUAAGGUAAAGGCUUACCAAGGCAACGAUUCGUAGCCGACCUGAGAGGGUGAUCGGCCACACUGGGACUGAGACACGGCCCAGACUCCUACGGGAGGCAGCAGUAGGGAAUCUUCCGCAAUGGGCGAAAGUCUGACGGAGCAACGCCGCGUGAGUGAUGAAGGUCUUCGGAUCGUAAAACUCUGUUGUUAGGGAAGAACAAGUAUGUAAGUAACUAUGCACGUCUUGACGGUACCUAAUCAGAAAGCCACGGCUAACUACGUG
rnacentral:rRNA from 1 species